GAGAGAGUAAACAGUGCGUGAAACCGUUCAGAGGUAAACGGGUGGAGUUGAACUGCAAGCUCUGAGGAUUCAGCUGGUGAGAUUGGCGUGAUCUUGGUCACGUGAGUUGUAUUGCCGUGUCUGCUUAGCUGCAGGUCCUCGCUUCGGUGGGGAUGCGCGUCUAGCUUAUCAAGCUUUGUGCGCACGGGAACUUUUCGAACUCGCUUGCCAGUGCACUUUCUCAGGGUGUUCACCACGACCGGCGUUGUCGUCUGGCUGGUGCGGUUAAACCGGUCUUGUAGGGUCCUUGUGGCCUUGCUUGGUCGGGAUGGCAGGUAGCCCGUUGUGUAUUUUAUAUGCUUCGGGUGUAAUAGCCGACUGCAUCGGUUCUGUGCGGUACGUCGGAGACGGCGGCUUGUUGUGCGUGCGGGCGUGCCUGUGCGCCGGCGGCUCUGGGUCUGGUUGCCUUGUUGCUUGUGAAUGCAGGCCAGGUGAUGGCUCGGGGUUGUUCGGUGUGCGGUUGCGUUCGUUGCACUUUAAAGGGCCAAUAGUCUGUGGUGUAGUGGUAGACUAUCCACCCGACCC
rnacentral:rRNA from 1 species